rnacentral:tRNA from 1 species
GCCUGGCUGGCUCAGUUGGUAGAGCAUGCAACUCUUGAUCUUGGGGGUGUGAGUUCAAGUCCCACGUUGGGUG